GACGAACGCUGGCGGCGUGCUUAACACAUGCAAGUCGAACGGAAAGGCCCCUUUGGGGGUACUCGAGUGGCGAACGGGUGAGUAACACGUGAGUAACCUGCCCUUGACUUCGGGAUAACUUCAGGAAACUGGGGCUAAUACCGGAUAGGAAUCCUUGCUGCAUGGUGGGGGUUGGAAAGCUUCGGCGGUUUUGGAUGGACUCGCGGCUUAUCAGCUUGUUGGUGGGGUAGUGGCUUACCAAGGCUUUGACGGGUAGCCGGCCUGAGAGGGCGACCGGCCACAUUGGGACUGAGAUACGGCCCAGACUCCUACGGGAGGCAGCAGUGGGGAAUAUUGCACAAUGGGCGGAAGCCUGAUGCAGCAUCGCCGCGUGCGGGAUGACGGCCUUCGGGUUGUAAACCGCUUUCAGCAGGGGCGAAGCUUGUGGUGACGGUACCUGCAGAAGAAGCACCGGCUAACUACGUG
rnacentral:rRNA from 1 species